AUAUAUCCAUCUUGAAUCACGCAUCAAAAAACAAUUCGCUCGUAAACAUAUUGUCAGUAAAAAAAAAACCUUCAGCUACUUUUUCUGCGAGUUACAAUAUGAAGAGUUGCAGAAGAAUAUAUUCAGGAAAUAAUUGAUAAAAACCAAAUUAGAAGUGAGUAUUAAAUUAUAUGUUACAAGACGUUAGAAAAUGGUGUAUAAUACUGACUAAUUAAUAUUGAUCUAAUGCGGAACAUUUUUUUACGUCUAAUUAGUUUAACUUGAAGUAACGUAUAAAAUCGCAUUAAAAUACACGACCUGACAUUAUUCCAAAUGACGCAAGUGGGAAAUCGAUUAUUUAUAUGAAAUACUUUCUUCUAAUUAAGCGACAUAAUUACAUUAAUUACGAAACGACUUGUAACAAUCCGUUUGCAUUUACGUGAGAACACGAGAAGAAACUGAUGAAGUGCAUCUCGUAGGCUCUUUUGCUCUCUAUCUUUCGUCGUUUCUCUCACUAUCUCCCCUAUCUCUCGUGUUCUCCCCUAUCUCGGCGAUAUCGUUAUCAUAGCCUCCACGAUUGUUGCAAUCUUGUCUCGACAAUACUUACACGACAAUGCUUUUGCGUAUUCCUCGUAACAUUCCGCCGGUCAGUCGUGAAAAUCGCAGCGAAUUGAACGCGAAAACUCGCUCGUUUCACGAUCGAGCCGUGCUUAAUCUUAUCCGCCGCCAUAAAUCUGAUAUAUCGUUUUAUAGUUCUUGCAUGUCGAUUAUGAGUGCUUCAGGGUCGCGACGAUAAUAGAAGUGCUUUUUUACUACUACAUCCAAUUCUUUAAUUUGAAAUGCGUUUCGAUCGGUAGAUUUUCCGCUGAAUAGAUAUAUAGAACAGAAAUAAUUAAUUUCUUCGAGAUACGGGAAUGCGCGAGAGCGAGAUGCGAAUAUUUUCGAACGGUGAGAUUUCAAUAACUCUCGGUUUCAUGCGAGAAUCCGUCUUGCUAUGCAAUACAAUAAUAGCAGCGGAGCUGCGUUCAAGGAGGAAAAGGAUCGCUCGAAUGGAACGAAUUCAUGAAUAAAUUACAACAUCUUGCGGCGCGAAUGGCCAUUAUCUUCCUCAUGUCCGUACGCUCAACGCUAUAUCAGAAAUGCAAUGUAAAAGUUGUUUACAAUUCGAAGCGAAUAUAUCGAAACGACGGUUGUUGUCGAUCAAGUAAGAUAAUUGCGGAUAAAAAAAAUUUCAGGUCUCGCUAUUUACUUACUUCUUCCGCGAUUUCUCCAAUUUUAUUUCGUGUUUUUCUCAUGACGCUCGCGCGACUUUUCUAACAAACUCUCUCGAAAAAUUCCAACACUAUCUCGCGUUCUAGAAGUUAUAUAUACUCGGUAACAUAUGUCCAUUGUUUGUUUAAGUUGUUAUCAGUACGAGUGCACCUACGCCGGCAACAAUACGCGACUCUCGGAUGCGAGCCGUUACGUCAUUAAUCGCAGGAAGUCGCGUUUUUGGAGGACGCGCCGAUGCGUUUUAUGGCGUUGAUCAAUUUCCGCGAGAUUCAGAAUCCAAAUAUUUUCUAUACAAUGGACAUCGAGCAAAUGCACGCAAACUUUCUUUCGAUCAGAAGAUCGCCGUCUCUCUCGCCUACAAGUUCUCACUUCCGGCGAUUUUCACGGCGUUACGUAAAUUCCGCGUUCAUGUCGAUCCGCUGAGACGUGAUUGCCCGCAUCACGGUCAUAUUACGUAUAUAUUUGUUUUACAUGCUUAGAAAAACAAUAUUUCUUAAUGUUAGAGAGUUUUUGUUUACAUCAGCCAUUAAAAAAAAAA